rnacentral:rRNA from 1 species
AACGCGAAGAACCUUACCAAGGCUUGACAUAUACCGGAAACGGCUAGAGAUAGUCGCCCCCUUGUGGUCGGUAUACAGGUGGUGCAUGGUUGUCGUCAGCUCGUGUCGUGAGAUGUUGGGUUAAGUCCCGCAACGAGCGCAACCCUUGUUCUGUGUUGCCAGCAUGCCCUUCGGGGUGAUGGGGACUCACAGGAGACUGCCGGGGUCAACUCGGAGGAAGGUGGGGACGACGUCAAAUCAUCAUGCCCCUUAUGUCUUGGGCUGCACACGUGCUACAAUGGUCGGUACAAAGGGUUGCCAAACCGCGAGGUGGAGCUAAUCCCAUAAAACCGUUCGUAGUCCGGAUUGGAGUCUGCAACUCGACUCCAUGAAGUCGGAAUCGCUAGUAAUCGUAAAUCAGAACGUUACGGUGAAUACGUU